rnacentral:rRNA from 1 species
CUAACAUAAAAUGGCGGUCCAAAUCAAUUAUAGAAACUCGCUUUAUAAUCGAUAUUACCCGAUAAAUUUCACUCAAAUUAAAAAUUCAUAUACCGCCGUUAACAAUAGAAUUUAAACAAUAUAAUAAAUCUAAAAUUAAUAAACAACAAAAAUCAGGUCAAGGUGUGAUAAAUAAUAAAGACUAAGUAAGUUACACUAAAAAUAAUUUAAGAAUCUAAUCAUAAAAAUGAACUAAAGAAAAAGAAUUUAAUAAUACAUAAUUAAUCAAAAAUU